GACGAACGCUGGCGGCGUGCUUAACACAUGCAAGUCGAACGAAGCUUGAUUACUGAUUCUUCGGGUGAAGUAUGAUAUGACUGAUUGGCGGACGGGUGAGUAACGCGUGAGUAACCUGCCCUUCCGAGGGGGAUAUCGUUUGGAAACGAACGGUAAUACCGCAUAAUGUAUUUUGACCGCAUGAUCGCAAUACCAAAGAUUUAUCGCUGAAGGAUUGACUCGCGUCUGAUUAGGUAGGUGGUGGGGUAACGGCCUACCAAGCCGACGAUCAGUAGCCGGAAGGAGAGGUUGAGCGGCCACAUUGGGACUGAGACACGGCCCAGACACCUACGGGAGGCAGCAGUGGGGAAUAUUGCACAAGGGGCGCAAGCCUGAUGCAGCAACGCCGCGUGAAGGAAGACGGUUUUCGGAUUGUAAACUUCUGUUCUUAGUGAAGAAGAAUGACGGUAGCGAAGGAGCAAGCAACGGCUAACUACGUG
rnacentral:rRNA from 1 species